AUCAAACAUCACUACACCAAAAAUCACUUUCCACAACACAUGAAUAUAAUACUAUUGAAAAAGUAUUAUAUUUUCUUAGCAUAAAAAGCGGUAAAGGCGAGAACCUGAAAAUGUAUCCCGCCUCUUCUCUCACUAAAAAAAAUGAGCCCCAAUUUUCUUUUCUCAUUUCCCUUCUCAAUACCCCAAAACCGAACAAUCAAAAACUUAUCUUCUCUCAAAGUUUUCCCUGCUUGAAUCCAUCUUACGAACUUUCUUCCCAUCUUUAGCCUUUGACAUCUUCCUCUCUAGACCAAAGUUUGACCUUUAUUUCUCCCUUCCCGAUACCCCUUUUUCUCUCGCUGCGAGUGGGGUGGUGGACUCGUAGUAGUCGCGACGAGAUCUCAACAGAGGUGCAUUUGGGUUUCCCCUAAUCCCCAUUUCUUUCAUUUCCCCAAAUCCCUAAAACUCGUUUUUUUCCCCAAAUUACUCUGCUGCCUCAUGCACCCCGCCUGUGAAGGUUCUCUUCCCUUCAUCUCUCUAACUUUGCUCUCUCAGCUCUCUUUCUCCCUCACCGAUUCUCUCUCUCUCACUCUCAAGUCAAUCCACCGCUCUGCCUCUAGUCUUCCGUCAUUACUAGCUCUAUUGCUCUGCUGACAUCCUAAACAGAGCACACGAUUAUGGCCAAAUAAACAAUCAAUAUAAUACUUGCUUCUGGGAGCUUGUUAAAUCUGGAAAAAGCAAAAUCAAGGCUCAAAAUAUAUUAAAGGUAUUGAUACUAGCCUUGUUUUUCGAAUUCAGAGUCGUUGGCACUGCUGGAAUGAACAGGGAAGGCUAGGGUGAGGCUUUCCCCAUUCGUUGAGCUGUUGUGUUUGAAUUGGCAUGAAGAUAUAGAUGUUCCUUGUCUUAUCGUAUUUAUCUUUGACAAAAGGUGAGAGCUGCAUCAGUAACAUGUUUUGCGGGCAUAACUUCCUCUGUAUUCUUCUCUCUUACGAAGGAGAAACAAGAUUUCAUUCUUUCUGCUGUGAUUAAUCCAACCAAAGAAGACGAGGUGCCUUCAGUUAGAUCAGCUUCUUAUCGAGCCAUUGGUGUCAUUUCAUGUUUUCCUCAAGUUUUCCAGAGGUGUGAAUAACUGCUUCUUGGGCUUUGGCAAACAUAUGUGACUCUAUCCGGCACUAUAUUGAUACUCUUGCUUUGAAAGGCUCCACAGACAGUACUGCAGUCUCUGAAUCAGUGGCAUUACUAACUGAUUGUGCUUUACGUCUAUCAAAUGAUGGAGACAAGGCUCAUGAGACAACAACACGUGAAGCAGAGAAAAAGUUGCUGCUCUUGUUAGGAUUCGACAAGAUAAAGCCUCAUCUCAUGGCACUGCACUUGAAUAAGGACCUAAUGAAACAUAGGUUCAAUUCCCUCAUAGUUUGACAACUUCUUUGGGUCAUCUUGUUUUUGACAUGAAAGGUUGUGGAUCGAAUUGGCGAGGAGCAUUGCAAAGUUAAUUAACUUAAUUAUUCAUUGCAAGAGGUACGGAAGUAUGUUCUCUUAACUCUUUUAUUAAUAUCAUACAAAUGUUAGAGGAGUUUGAAUAUCUUAAAUAUUCAUUCGUAGAGAAGUAGGUUCUGAGAUUAAAAUUGUGUGUUACGGUGAUAACGGAAGGUUGAAAACUUGUGUGUCUUAGAGAAGUAGGUUCUAGAAAAUUUGUUUGUGUGUUGCGGUGAUAUAAGGAAGAAAACUUAUUGUGUGUUGUUUGAAUUUUUUUACUUGGUAUUGAUAGAUGGUUAGGUAAGCUUUUAUAUGGGAAAUGAUGUCAGAUUUUAUCUAGAAUUAUGUAUUAUCUUCUUACAAAUAAAUUGUGUUUGCUUGAAUUGGUUUGAUUAUAUUGAUUGAUAUCUCGCCUGGGGUGUGAAUAAGAGUAGUUUUCACGUCCCCAACCUUAGGGUUUGAAUAAUAAAACAUUAUACAUAUGAGUUGUGAUUGGAAAAAUGCAUAAUCUGAUAAUGCCUCUAUGAGUUCUAAGUCAAAUAUAAUUACCCAAAACAUCAUAAAUAUAAUUACCCAAAAUAAUAGCUUGGUUUCCCUCCCCUGUCAUUUUCAGAAGAUCCACCUUACUUCCAUAGUAAAGUUCACAUUCAGCUCUAUGACCAUUUGAGUAAGCAUAUGCAACACAUGAACAAUUGCUCCUGUACAGCGGCUCACAACCGUUUAGACCAAUAGCAGUAGCCCUUCAAGUGGUUAUCAAUGUCGGCAUUAGUCCUUUUUCCUCAUAGAAAUCAUCACCAUUUUCACAAACUAAUGGAAUGAUCAAACAACCACUAGAAUUCCUCUCUGUUGUGCCAUCACAAAGCGAAUAGUUGACCAUUGAAAUCUGCUGAUCUUCCAUCCUAUACUCAUUGAUAACCCCAUUAUCAGCCAUGACAAACCAUGAAUACACAUUGCUAAGUGCCAGCUAAGUGCUUUUUCUUCAAUAUUUGCCUCUGUGGACACCAUAACAGCCAUAAAGAGUUAUAUAGCUUCAACCCCAUUACUGUAAUUGACAAAUUUGUUUCUUCUCUCUUUUGUUUCUCUUUUUUUUAGGGUCAUUUAAAUUCAAUUGAUAGUUAAAAUAGAUCGGAAAGUGGUGGAGAUUGGACCUUUUUUCCCUUUCACUUUUAUAAAAUGUAUAAUCUUUAGGAAAUAUUGAGAAGUAGGCAAAGCGUUGCUUUAGGUGCUGAGGUAGAAAGUGAUAGCUUAAGUAAAAGAGCUGGAAGAAUGUUGUUAUUUUGAUUUUCUUUAAAUUGCAACUCCCAUAAUUCUCAUUCCAAACAUCAACAUGAACAAGAAAAAACUUCUUCCCUGUCAAAGCCUUACUCAGCUCAUUUUGAAGUUGAUGUAUGUCCUCAAUCUCACAUUUGUAUAAAGUGACAAAAUCCAAAUUUUUCUUUGUUAUUCUAAAAAUAUAAAACUCUACUGAGAUAGUAUCCCAUGCUUUCAAGUCAAAAUGUCUUUGGACACUCCUUUCCUUGUAAACAAGUUCUAUGUGGUGGUCUUUUUUGGUCAACUUCUUUCAAACCAAGGAACAUUGUUUGAUCUAAAAGAAAGUUUAAUGCACCAAGAAUCCCCUCUAAUUCUAGCUUUACAUUAUGCUCAAAUAGACUAAAAAUAGUUGGGACAAAGAUCAACAACUUACUUGCUUUUCUUGAUCCGGUUUUGCCUUUCUCCAACUUGAGUCUCAAAGCUUCAGAAUUGAUCUUGUCCAUCACAUGGUCUACAUCAUAAAGUACUUGUUUAAGCUCAUCAAGCCACUUCUUGACUUCUUCACUAGUUGAGGCAAUCACAGCUAGUGAUUUGCUCUCAAUUGAAGCAUAAACUUUCACUGCAAAUAGAACUAAGUUAGCUAUGUUUGAUGCAUUCACUGCCAACCUCUCACUCUUUGCUAACUGCUUCACCUCAUCCUAAAACCAAGCAUAAACAUAUAAAUAAAAGUGUUCAGUAACAGUAAUAGUAGUCAAAAUAGGUUCAUAUUGUCAGAUUUAACACAAUUUGAGGCUUACUCAUCAAAUGAUUGUGUUCUUAUACAAAUGAACUAAAUACACUCAAAAGCAGUGCUAUAUAUCUGUGUCCAUUCCUUAAUGAUCACUCAAUCUCCUUUAUUUUCAAGUAAUAAUUGUCAAAUGAGACAUAAAGAAUUAAAAUUACUUUUCACUAAUUAAUAAUUUUGAUUUCAAAACUAAUCUAAGAUGGCAACAACCUCAAUUAGACUUUCAGGGAAGAAGCCCAUUUCAGUCAUGAUCUCCAUCUCAUUGAAGCCUUCAAGAAUCCUUUCUUGCUAUUUAUAAUAUUCUGCAACUUUGUAUUGUUUCCCUAAAUAUAUACAAAAUAAAUGAAUGAAUGAAUAAAUUGUGUACAAAUUUCAAUAAUAGUUCUUAGAAAUCAUAUAAAUGUUAUAAUUUUCUGUGUCCAACAUCACGUGAUGUGUUUAUAUGUGGAUAAAUUUAAAAAUGACUCUUUUUUAUUAUAAUUUAAUAAGUAAUAUUGGAUUCUAUCAACUGACAUUUCAUGUGAUGUUCGAUUCUGUAAAGUCCUUUGGUCUCUCCUUCUUCUCAUGCAUUAGUGUUUCUCAAACUCUCUUCUCUCACUCAUCAUCCCUUUUAAAACCCCUUCAUUCUCAUCACCAGGAUAUGUUUUCUCCAGGUAAAACAAGAUUGUUAUCCCAUCCUCAUUUUCCUUGUUAAGAUCAUCAUCAGAAGUGUGAAGGACAUCUUCUUUGUAGUGUGAAGUCAGAAUACUAAUGAAUUCAGAAAUUACAGAUGUUUAAUUUAACCAAAAGAAAGAGGACCCCAUCAAAAAGAAAACAAAAAUAUAUUAAUAGAGAAGAUAUAUCAUAUGAUGAAACAUUAUUUAGAGAAGAGAUUUUAUCAUGAAAGACAAACUGACUUUUUUUUUUCUUUUCCUGUCUCUAGUUCUGUACUGUAUAGUAGUAAGUAGUUAAGCUAUAAUAUAAAAAGGUUGCUUCUAACUUAUACGAUUUCCAUCAUAUAAGAGUAAUAUAGUUUUAAAAAAUUAGUUAAUUAGUUCUUCAAUUACAAUAAACCUGAAGGAUAACAUGUCACAAUAUUUAUUUGAUUGCUACGUGGACCAAGUGGCAAGUGAUUGAGCUCCUCAGUCAAACUUUACUCAUGCACCAAAAUUAAUAAUUCAUCAAAAACUUUCACAAUAUUUACUAUAAUAUAAUGCAUGCUUUUAUAGCUCAAUUUAACCACUAAUCAUUCUAUGUAUUCUAGCUACCUUUAAAUAAUUAAAUGUACUAGUACUAUAACAUAUACAUAUAUAUAUAUAAAUCAUUCCAACAAAUAGUAUAUGUAUAUUAUAUGCAUGAGUGACUAAUAAUCCUAUCAUAUUGGAGACAUAAAAAACUAUAGUCAAUUGUAUUGAUUUUCUUUCAGAUUAAUAAUCUAACUUUCUGUUUAGGAAAUUAAUAUAUAUUGAGAGAGAAAAACAAAUUUCAAACAUGCAGUGCUAUCACAAAAAUACAUAAAGUCAAAGUCAUAAACAAACAUGUGUUUAAUUUUCUACAUGUAAUUUUUUAGUUAGGAAAGUCAACCCUGUAAAUGACUCAUUUAUUAGGGCGGUAGAGCAACAACAAGUGAGGGGCGGUCCCACAAUAUUCCACAAUCCAACAAUAUUCCUUCUCCUAAUGUAAAUAUUCAAAUUGUGAGUGUUGGAGUUUAGAAGGGCCAUAACUUUAUAUAAGCAAGGAAUGCUUGCUACUUGCUCGAUUGGUAAGAUGCAAUUAUUGCUGAAGGCCGUUGGGAUUCUAGUGAUCCAGACUUAGAGGUGCACGGAAUUCCUCUUGGACCAGAUUUUAUGCGUGUAUGGGUUGAUGUUGCUGUUGUGCCUGGUGCUUAUUUAUUUUUUCCUAACUAUGCGAUGCUUACUAUACGAGAAGUUGUUGGUUCAACAGUUGCAUGACCUUCUCAAAAGGUUAUUCCAAGAGAUUCAACAAGUCAAGUGCAAAAGAAAAUCUGAUUUGGAAGGCUUUGAUGUGCUGACAUAUAGAAGAUCAUGAAUUCCUACCUUUACUUUUGAAUAUGCAACUGUUUAAGACUAUUUUGUUGACUAUUGUGAGAAUGUUUUGUUUAUGUUAAUUAGACAGUGUUGAAUA